UGAGACACUGUCUCAGAAAAUAAAAAAAACAAAAAAGAGUCUAAAGUUUGUACAAAAUGGAAUAGUCUCUAAAGGCUCAAUUCACAUUAUAACUUCAAAUGGCAAGCUUAUUUUCAUGAAGUAAUGUUCAUCCUCAAGAAAAUCAAAGAAAUGGUAAAAUGCCUAAGUAGAUUUAAAAAGAUUAAAAAGAAUGGGGGGGGGCGAGGGCUGCAUGGUGGUUCACUGGGGGACAGUAAGAACCAUGGGAAGGGCCCCCUAAGGGGGAGGGGGACGCCAGGCUCUGUGGCAGGAAAGUGACUAGCUGCCCUUCGUUGUCAGCCAGGGAUGAGGACACAGCCACGCUCCCACCCGUCUGCCCAUGAUCACUUGGCAACAGCGAUAUCUGCUGCCAGCGCCCGAGGCCUGCGGGCCACCUACCACCAGCUCCUCGACGAAGUGGAGCUGAUGCUGCCCGAAAAAUUGAGACCGUUGUACAACCACCCAGCAGGUCCCAGAACAGUUUUUUUCUGGGCUCCAAUUAUGAAAUGGGGGUUGGUGUGUGCUGGAUUGGCUGACAUGGCCAGACCUACAGAAAAACUCAACACAGCUCAAUCUGUUGUUUUAAUGGCUACGGGGUUUAUUUGGUCAAGAUAUUCACUUGUAAUUAUUCCAAAAAAUUGGAGUCUGUUUGCUGUCUAUUUCUUUGUGGGGACAGUAGGAGCUUCUCAGCUUUUUCGAAUUUGGAGAUAUAACCAAGAACUAAAAGCUAAAGCAAAUAAUUAAAAGAGUUCCUGAUGUCCUGAACGCUCUAGAUGUAAACAUAACCACUGGAACCUAGUUUAUUGUUUACUUUUAGAUAAGACAAUGUUAACUGUGCUGACCCUUAGAAGGCACAAAAAAAUCUAACUGUGCCUGAUUCAACAGUAAAAUGAAGCAAACUUUUAUUAACAACAACAAAAAAAGAAUGGGAAACCUUAGUGUAACAAUUUGAAGAAACAGUCUUUUUUUGUGUGUGUGUGAGACAGAGUCUAACUUUGUU